rnacentral:rRNA from 1 species
CGAGCGGACCGACGGGAGCUUGCUCCCUUAGGUCAGCGGCGGACGGGUGAGUAACACGUGGGUAACCUGCCUGUAAGACUGGGAUAACUCCGGGAAACCGGGGCUAAUACCGGAUGCUUGAUUGAACCGCAUGGUUCAAUCAUAAAAGGUGGCUUUCAGCUACCACUUACAGAUGGACCCGCGGCGCAUUAGCUAGUUGGUGAGGUAACGGCUCACCAAGGCGACGAUGCGUAGCCGACCUGAGAGGGUGAUCGGCCACACUGGGACUGAGACACGGCCCAGACUCCUACGGGAGGCAGCAGUAGGGAAUCUUCCGCAAUGGACGAAAGUCUGACGGAGCAACGCCGCGUGAGUGAUGAAGGUUUUCGGAUCGUAAAACUCUGUUGUUAGGGAAGAACAAGUACCGUUCGAAUAGGGCGGCACCUUGACGGUACCUAACCAGAAAGCCACGGCUAACUACGUGCCAGCAGCCGCGGUAAUACGUAGGUGGCAAGCGUUGUCCGGAAUUAUUGGGCGUAAAGCGCGCGCAGGCGGUUUCUUAAGUCUGAUGUGAAGCCCCCGGCUCAACCGGGGAGGGUCAUUGGAAACUGGGGAACUUGAGUGCAGAAGAGGAGAGUGGAUUCCACGUGUAGCGGUGAAAUGCGUCGCGAUGUGGAGGAACACCAGUGGCGAAGGCGACUCUCUGGUCUGUAACU